UCCGAGUUGACCCCGGCAGUCUCCCAUGAGUCCCCACCAUCACGUGCUGGCAACAUGGAACGAGGGUUGCGCUCGUUGCGGGACUUAACCCAACAUCUCACGACACGAGCUGACGACAACCAUGCACCACCUGUGCACGGCCCUUACGGACCCUCCAUCUCUGGAGGUUUUCCGGCGAUGUCAAACCCAGGUAAGGUUCUUCGCGUUGCAUCGAAUUAAUCCGCAUGCUCCGCCGCUUGUGCGGGCCCCCGUCAAUUCCUUUGAGUUUUAGCCUUGCGGCCGUACUCCCCAGGCGGGGCACUUAAUGCGUUAGCUACGGCACGGAUCCCGUCAAUAAGGACCCACACCUAGUGCCCAACGUUUACGGCGUGGACUAC
rnacentral:misc_RNA from 1 species